rnacentral:rRNA from 1 species
AAGAACCUUACCUACCCUUGACAUGUAUGGAAUCCUCCAGAGAUGGAUGAGUGCUCGAAAGAGAACCGUAACACAGGUGCUGCAUGGCUGUCGUCAGCUCGUGUCGUGAGAUGUUGGGUUAAGUCCCGCAACGAGCGCAACCCUUGUCAUUAGUUGCUACAUUUAGUUGGGCACUCUAAUGAGACUGCCGGUGACAAACCGGAGGAAGGUGGGAAUGACGUCAAGUCCUCAUGGCCCUUAUAGGUGGGGCUACACACGUCAUACAAUGGCUGGUACAAAGGGUUGCCAACCCGCGAGGGGGAGCUAAUCCCAUAAAACCGGUCGUAGUCCGGAUCGCAGUCUGCAACUCGACUGCGUGAAGUCGGAAUCGCUAGUAAUCGUGGAUCAGAAUGUCCCGGUGAAUACGUUCCCGGGUCUUGUACACACCGCCCGUCACACCAUGGGAGCGGGUUCUGCCAGAAGUAGUUAGCCUAACCGCANGGAGGGCGAUUACCACGGCAGGGUUCGUGACUGGGGUGAAGUCGUAACAAGGUA